AUUGAACGCUGGCGGCAGGCUUAACACAUGCAAGUCGAGCGGUAACAGGGGUAGCUUGCUACCCGCUGACGAGCGGCGGACGGGUGAGUAAUGCCUAAGAAUCUGCCUAGUAGUGGGGGAUAGCCCGGGGAAACCCGGAUUAAUACCGCAUACGCCCUACGGGGGAAAGCGGGGGAUCUUCGGACCUCGCGCUAUUAGAUGAGCUUAGGUCGGAUUAGCUUGUUGGUGAGGUAAUGGCUCACCAAGGCGACGAUCCGUAGCUGG
rnacentral:rRNA from 1 species